CGUUAAAGCUGAAGCCCUCAGUGAACUCAUGGCGUCGAUACGCAGACGAGGAGUCCGAGCAGAAAACCUCCUGAAAGAUGGUGACAAUGCCAUCCAGCGCUACAGAAACCUGGAGGCUCGGCUGCAGAAACACGUCGACGUCCAGGACGCUCUUCAGAGCGAGUUCUGCCACUUUAAGCGGCAGGCAGAGAACACCAAGUCCUGGAUCAGUCAACUUCUGGAUCCCAUCAUCGCUGCUGGGAGUGACAGUGUCACAGAGACGCUGAAGUCCAAAGCUCUGGUAUGUGGAAACCCUGAACAGAUUCACUAAACAACACUCUUACCCUUUCACAUGACGUCUUCAUGGCUCACUGCAUUGUUUGUGUUCCAACUGUCUUUGCCAAUACAAAUGUCUUACCUUGUUUGGCUAAAAAGCAUUCCGGCAGCAGAGGGAGUGAGAGGGAUUAAGCGAUCCUUGAAGGUUUCUCCUCUGUACAUGGCUUAUUUGUCUGCUGUGGGGUUUUCUCUUGACCAGACUCUUCUAAACUCCAGACCUGAAGGAGAGGCCAAAGUGAACGAUCUGAGAACGCAUAUGGAAAAUCUGCUGGAGCAGGAGGAGUUUGAGGAGGGCCGGAGACAGGAAGUCCAGCUGUUGGUCAGAGAUGCAGAGAAGGAGCUGCUUUCUGCCCUGCAGGCUGCAGAAGAAGCUCUCAGUAAGGCGGAGACACAAGCCCUGUUGGACAAACAGCUUGUUGCUCUCCAAAGCCAGAACGACAGCUUUAGGUCCUGGAUUAAAGACCUGUCUGAGAACCUGACAUCGUUAAGAGGCCACCAGGACCCAGAGGAGAAGCUAAAGAUUGCACAAGUGGGUCUUGAAUUAAACACAGCUGAAUUGUGGGCGAUAUAAAUAUGAAUUAUGUGCAAAGGAACUAAUAAUAAAUAAAAACCUCAAUCUUUUCUAUUCAGACUGUUCUUAGCUCCAGGUCUUCAGGGGAGACCAGGCUCCAGGAUCUGAAGGAACAAUCUCAGAACCUGUGGGAUAAAAAGGGGUUGAAAGAGAACAUCUCCAGUGCGGUCAGGAACACAGAGGAGCAGUGGUGGGAGGUCCUCCAGGCUGCAGAAGCGGCCGUCAAGCAGGCAGAAGAGGAAGCUGCCUCUGAGAGGAACUUUGAGGCUUUCAAAGCCCAAACUGAGAGUGUCCAGACCUGGAUCCGAGAGCAGAGGCAGAAGCUGCUGGACCUUGGAAGUCAUGCAGAGUUUGAACAGCGGCUACAAACGGCACAGGCUUUUAGGAGCUUAACCCCUGAAGGAGAUUUAAAGCUGCUUGAUCUGAAGACCUUCGGUGAGCGUCUGUGUGAGCCCCCGCAGGGAGGCAGGAAGCCGGAAGUGCAGCAGCUGGUGACCUUCACGGAGCAGCAGUGGACUUCAGUGUUGCAGAUCCUCAGACAGCUGGAGCUGCGAGCUCUUUCAGACGACUUCAGCGCUCAGACUAAAGCCACCGAGGCUUGGAUCAGAGAGCAACAGCAGAAGCUGGAGGCUGUCAGCUGUCACGCCUCCCCUGGAGACAGAGUCUGUGCAGCUAAGGCUGUUCUAACCUCCAGACCUGAGGGCGACUUCAAGGUGAACAACCUAAGGAGACGAGGCCAGAGUGUUUGUGACCAUCAAGACGCUGACGAGGCCAGCAAAGUCUGUGUCCAACAGAGUGUGAAGGAAACAGAGCAGCAGUGGAGGAAGGUUCUAGAAUCGGCCAAACAACUUCAAUCUGCAGCAGAAGCUGAGAUUUCUCAGAAUAGAGAAAGAACAAUGUUAGAGUGGAGAGAAUUUGACACCAAUAUGGAAGACACUGAGCAUUGGCUGGAGGAUUUUCUUCAACAGCUGGGCUCUGUGAGCAGCCGAGCUAAAGCUGAGGACAGACUGCGUGCAGCACAGGCCAUUGUGAACUCAGAGUCUGAAACCGAAUCCAGGCUCCAGAGGCUCGGAGCGCAGGUUCACAGUGUGUGCCGCCAGGACCUGGAGGAGCACAAGAAACAAGAAGUCAAACAGAAGGUAAAAGACAUGGAGGAGAGGUGGACCAGAAUCCUGGAAGCUGCCAAACAAGCCCUGAGUCAGGCGGAGAGCCGAUGCGCUCUUGAGCAUCAGCUGGAGGACCUCCAGACCCUGAGAGAAGACUUCAGGAAGUGGCUGGAGGAAAAGCAGCACAACUUCCUGCUCCAGGGCAGGCUGACUAAUCCAGAACAGAGCCUCAACAACGCAAAGGAUUUGCUGAGCUGCAAACCUGAUGGGGACUCCAAGCUGAUGGUGCUCAGGAGGCAAUGCCAGAGCUUCCUUGACCGGGAGGGGUUGGAGGAGCAGGAGAGGCGAGACGCUCUUGAGAUGCUGCAGGACUCAGAGGAGCGAUGGAAAACUGUGCUAGAGGCUGCUGAGAACUCUCUGCGCCGAGUUGAGGUUCGAUAUUCGCUGUCCAGGGAGCUGGAGGCUUUCUGCACGCAUGCAGGCAGCACUGAGAGCUGGAUUGACAGCCUGCAGAAACAAGUCGACUCCAUGAGGGGGGGCACUCAGGGCACCAGAGCUCAGAUUGAGGAACGGUUAAACGUUGCACAGGUAAACACACUGAAAGGAUUGUAG
rnacentral:lncRNA from 1 species